rnacentral:ncRNA from 2 species
CACCGCUUGGUGAAAAUUAAGGCCGUAAAUGGCACCGGUUAGUAGCAAGUCUGAAAGCCGGUGAGGCUAACAAAGAG